rnacentral:rRNA from 1 species
UACGGGGGGAGCAAGCGUUGUUCGGAUUUACUGGGCGUAAAGGGCGCGUAGGCGGCCUGUGCAAGUCAGUUGUGAAAUCUCCGGGCUUAACUCGGAACGGUCAACUGAUACUGCUCGGCUAGAGUGCGGAAGGGGCAACUGGAAUUCUUGGUGUAGCGGUGAAAUGCGUAGAUAUCAGGAGGAACACCGGUGGCGAAGGCGGUUCUCUGGGCAUGUCCUGACGCUGAGGAGCGAAAGUGUGGGGAGCGAACAGG